GUCUCUUUCGAACUCUCUAGUCACUUUAGUAUCGCCGAUUUCCAUAAGAUCCGAUCUCUCGGUUGAGAAAAAUGGGACGUCCUCGUCACCCUCAUUGUCAUCCCCAUCGUCAUCCAAGGGGAUCCCCGCCGAGCUUAGUCUUCGAAGCGACCAAUUCCCGUGGGAGAUGUUUGACUACACGAAUCAGGAAGACAAGCCGAAGAAAGAGAGUGCUCACGUACGAGCGAUGGUGGAAGCGUCUGUAGACGGGGUGUGGAAGGAGCUCUACUCUUUAUUCCCGCCGAAAGUGGGAGAGUCAUCAACUGAUCAACCAAAGGAAGGAUAUACAGAGAGGGACGACGAACUACUUGUUAAGCGGUUGUGCGACUUCAUGAAAGGAGGUGAUUGCAAAGAAUCAUUUAAGGCUUUGGAAGAUUGCGCGAAGGAAACUGGUGGUCUUGUUAAGUGUAUAAGAUAAAGUGUGUAGAUGCCCACUCUAAUUACUAUAAGCCUGUUAUCACGCUGGCUGAAUCUUCGAUGGAACAGUUGGCCAAGGACUUCAUAGAAGUUGUCAUCUCGGAAAAGGAACAGCCUGCGAGGGAUGAUUGAGAGGAUUUCGGUAAUUUUUCUUGUUUACGGGAAUAAUCAAUACUAGAUUUGGGAAUAAAUUGGAAAAAGUUUCGUUUCUUAGAUUCCUGACUUAUAAAAUUGGUCGGAUUUCUUCUUUUUAUAUGAUUCGUGAGAUCAUUUUCUCAAAAGUUCAUCAAUAUGUUGACGCCCAUGAAUGUUUCAUUAAAGAAAUCUUGUCGUCUUUGUGGUUUGCUUUGCUAAUGCCUCACUUGAAUGUGAUUUGUGUCUUCUGGAACAGAUACAGUCUGACCUUUAUUUAGUGAACAUUUACUAGUUCCUCUGAACAUUCAGUUGAAAAGUUUACAUCUUUGUUGC
rnacentral:sRNA from 1 species